GCCAGGCUUGGUGGCGCAUGUCUGUAAUCUCAGCUACUUGGGAGGCUGAGGCAGAAGAAUCGCUUGAGCCCGGGAGGUGGUGGUUGCAGUGAGCCAAGAUCAUGCCACUGCAAUCCAGCCUGGGCAACAGAGCGAGACUCUGUCUCAA
rnacentral:SRP_RNA from 1 species